GGCACUUUGGCCGAGUGGUCUAAGGCGCCGUGUUCAGGCUUAGAUUCGCUCUCGCAGCGCAUCUUCCUCUUCGCGGUCUAGUAAUAGGCGAGGGUUCGAAUCCCUCAGGUGUCA
rfam:Claviceps purpurea 20.1, WGS project CAGA01000000 data, contig: scaffold00104